CUACGGAGGCUGCAGUGGGGAAUAUUGGACAAUGGGCGAAAGCCUGAUCCAGCCAUGCCGCGUGUGUGAAGAAGGCCUUCGGGUUGUAAAGCACUUUCAGUGGGGAAGAAAGCCUUGGGGCUAAUACCCUCGAGGAAGGACAUCACCCACAGAAGAAGCACCGGCUAACUCCGUGCCAGCAGCCGCGGUAAUACGGAGGGUGCGAGCGUUAAUCGGAAUUACUGGGCGUAAAGCGCGCGUAGGCGGUCUGAUAAGCCGGUUGUGAAAGCCCCGGGCUCAACCUGGGAACGGCAUCCGGAACUGUCAGGCUAGAGUGCAGGAGAGGAAGGUAGAAUUCCCGGUGUAGCGGUGAAAUGCGUAGAGAUCGGGAGGAAUACCAGUGGCGAAGGCGGCCUUCUGGACUGACACUGACGCUGAGGUGCGAAAGCGUGGGUAGCAAACAGGAUUAGAUACCCUGGUAGUC
rnacentral:rRNA from 1 species